GAUGAACGCUGGCGGCGUGCCUAAUACAUGCCAGUCGAGCGAACGGACGAGAAGCUUGCUUUUCUGAUGUUAGCGGCGGACGGGUGAGUAACACGUGGAUAACCUACCUAUAAGACUGGGAUAACUUCGGGAAACCGGAGCUAAUACCGGAUAAUAUUUUGAACCGCAUGGUUCAAAAGUGAAAGACGGUCUUGCUGUCACUUAUAGAUGGAUCCGCGCUGCAUUAGCUAGUUGGUAAGGUAACGGCUUACCAAGGCAACGAUGCAUAGCCGACCUGAGAGGGUGAUCGGCCAGACUGGAACUGAGACACGGUCCAGACUCCUACGGGAGGCAGCAGUAGGGAAUCUUCCGCAAUGGGCGAAAGCCUGACGGAGCAACGCCGCGUGAGUGAUGAAGGUCUUCGGAUCGUAAAACUCUGUUAUUAGGGAAGAACAUAUGUGUAAGUAACUGUGCACAUCUUGACGGUACCUAAUCAGAAAGCCACGGCUAACUACGUG
rnacentral:rRNA from 1 species